rnacentral:rRNA from 1 species
CCUACGUGUGGCAGCAGUGAGGAAUAUUGGUCAAUGGGCGCGAGCCUGAACCAGCCAAGUAGCGUGAAGGAUGACUGCCCUACGGGUUGUAAACUUCUUUUAUCAAGGAAUAAAGUGCGGCACGUGUGCCUUUUUGUAUGUACUUUAUGAAUAAGGAUCGGCUAACUCCGUGCCAGCAGCCGCGGUAAUACGGAGGAUCCGAGCGUUAUCCGGAUUUAUUGGGUUUAAAGGGAGCGUAGAUGGGUUGUUAAGUCAGUUGUGAAAGUUUGCGGCUCAACCGUAAAAGUGCAAUUGAUACUGGCAGCCUUGAGUAAAUGUGAGGUAUGCGGAAUGCGUGGUGUAGCGGUGAAAUGCUUAGAUAUCACGAAGAACUCCGAUUGCGAAGGCAGCUUACUAAACCGCAACUGACAUUGAUGCUCGAAAGUGUGGGUAUCAAACAGGAUUAGAUACCCGUGUAGUC